rnacentral:misc_RNA from 1 species
CACAAAGAAUAUGCAGGCUGCACGCGGCUGUGUGCCCUCUCUCUCUCGGGGGAGAGGGCGCGCCAGUUGGCGGAAGGCUGAAUUAUUUUUCACCCAUGUCUUUUGCGCACUUGUUGUUUCCUGGGCGGGUUCGCCCGCCACCAGGACCACACCCUAAACCUUUUUAUGCAGUUGCAAUCAGCGUCAGUAUAACCAAUGUAAAAUCAUUUA